GUCAGCGUUGACACUCCGGUGCGCUCGCGCUCUCACCGACGUGUAAACUGAACGAAAGCUCACGCGCGCGUCUUCUGUGUAUGUGUGUGUGUUUGCGCCGAAACCGCACUGACCCGCGCGCGCUCCAGAACUCCAACGUAUGUCCGUUCUAAAGUUUCUCAUGAAUCGAGAUUGAUACUGAGGACCUCUGCUCCAGCUCGAGCGGAAGAGUGAACCGGAAGUGUAGAACAGACACGAUGGACACACAGAAGAGCCAGUGGGAUCACAGAAGGACUCCGUCCUGGCUCACCCGACCCGCCGAUGGCAGGAGCUCCGCCUCCUCAGGGGCGGAGUCAGACUCAGAGGGCAGCAGCACUGAAAGCGAGAGGGUGAGUCCAGAUGUCCAUCCUGUAACCUGUCCAAAAACAAGGGGCGGAGCUGUUCUGCAUCCUCCUCAUCCUCAGGCUCCGCCUAGACGACCCGGCAUCGACACCAAGGCUCUGACCACACAGCGGCGAAUAACGGAGCUCAAUCAGCAGAAGGAGGAGCUUAAAAUAGAGCUGCAGUUGGAGAUUGCACUGUUACAGGGUGAGCUGCAGACAGAGAAAGAGCGACUGCACAAACACACAGCACAGCUGCAGACACUACAGGAGUCCAAACAAAAACUGACACUAAGCAACACACAGCAGGAGCGUGUAAAGCUGGAGAAGGAGAGAUUGAGGGUAGAGAACAUGAAGACAAGAUGGAUGGAGAGAAAAAAACUCUCUCAGACAGAAGAACAGACAGACACUAUGCUGCAGCUACAACAGGAGAAGGAGGCAUUGGACAGUGCAGUCAGAGCAUUUGAGGACUGGGAGUUUCGUGUCCUUGAGAUGGAAAGUGGCUUGGAGGAGGAGAAGAUGGAGGGAGAGACAGAGAGAGAAAUCACCCGAGAACAACAUGCCAUUAACUCAUCACAGGAGCGUGUGAGACAGUUGGAGCAGCAGCUGAAGGAGAUGCAAAGAGAAAAGGAAAGAAAGAUGAGUUUGCUGAGAGAGGAGAAGAGAGAACUACUGCAUCAAACACAUCUGAUUUUAAAAGAGAACAAGCUUGUUUCUGAUUGGGUGAACAUCACUGGCUCCGCCUCCAGCAUGGCAUCACUGUCACCACAGACCAACCACAAAGCAGUGCAGGACAUGUCGAAUUCAACACGGAGACGGAGCUCGCAUCGAAAAGUCACGGAGCGGCCAAUGUCAGUGCAAGGACUAAUGAGGAAUCCUGACACUCCUCCUCUUCCUCACUCCAGACACAGACUGAGUAAUGGAAAUGCUAAUGCUAACGGCUUCCACACACCAACUAACAGCACAUGCAGCUCUCGUGCAGCCAGCCCGAGUCUGCAUCUGGUCAACCUCGUGGAGAUUGAGAGGAAACUACGUGAAGCUAAAGCUGAGAGAGAACGGCUGCUGAAGGAGAGGGAGGAGAGGAAACGUCUCACUGUAGAGGAUAGACAGGAGGAGCCGGACGACCCAAACACACACGCACACCUGAACACACCUGCAUAUACACACCUACACUCACAGGGACACACAAACUCACACUCAGAGGAGGAGCCUAAAGAGAUCCACGCCCAGAACUCACCUGAGCAGCAUGGUGUCCCUCUCUUCCUAACGGUGAACUUUGACCUUCGGGCACACGUGGAGAACCUGGGUCACGGCGUUGCGGGGUGUCUGGGUGUUCAGUUGUCGUCACGCCGAUGUUGCGGUUUCCUGACAAAGCGAGGCGGCCGAGUGAAGACGUGGAGGAGGAGAUGGUUCCUCUUUGACUUGGACCAUCGCAGACUGGCGUAUUACACCGGUGAGGAACAUCACGGAACUGGACGCAUCCCAAGAAUCAGGAUGAGAAGAAGCUGAAGGGGGUCAUCUACUUCCAGGCCAUAGAGGAAGUUUAUUACGAUCAUCUCCGAACCGCAAAUACGUCGCCUCGGCCAAGUCUGACGUUCUGCGUGAAGACGUACGAGCGUCUGUUUUUCCUCGUGGCUCCGAGUGCAGAGAGCAUGCGCAUCUGGAUGGACGUGAUCGUAACAGCAACGGAUGAACAUAGCCGCUACUGAACCCUCACACACGCACACACACACACACACA